GGGCCUGUAGCUCAAUUGGUAGAGCGCGUCAUUCGCAUUGACGAGGUAGGGGGUUCAAAUCCCCCCAGGUCCA
rnacentral:tRNA from 1 species